AAAUGGUGCAGUCACUGUGAAAAAGUUUGGUAGUUCCUCACUAAGUUAAAUAUAGAAUUACCAUAUGAUACUUCC